UGGGGGAUAUUGCACAAUGGGCGAAAGCCUGAUGCAGCGACGCCGCGUGGGGGAUGAAGGCUUUCGGGUUGUAAACCUCUUUCGCUAUCGAACAAGGCCCGCUUAGGGUGGGUUGAGGGUAGGUGGAGAAGAAGCGCCGGCUAACUACGUGCCAGCAGCCGCGGUAAUACGUAGGGCGCGAGCGUUGUCCGGAAUUAUUGGGCGUAAAGGGCGUGUAGGCGGCUUGUUGCGCCUGCUGUGGAAACGCGGGGCUUAACUUCGCGCGUGCAGUUAGUACGGGCAGGCUUGAGUGUUGUAGGGGUGACUGGAAUUCCAGGUGUAACGGUGGAAUGCGCAGAUAUCUGGAGAAACACCGAUGGCGAAGGCAGGUCACUAGACCAUUACUGACGCUGAGGUGCGAAAGCAUGGGUAGCGAACAGG
rnacentral:rRNA from 1 species